CGCCCCCCGCCCUGGGGGGGAAGGUUACGGGCCCGGCAAGGGCUUAAAAACCUCCAAAAAGGAAAUUUGACCGGGGGGCCCCUCACCAAGCCGGCGGAGCCAUUGUGGAUUAAUUCCGAUGCAACCGCGAAAGAACCCUUACCCUGGGUUGACCAUAUACCGGAAAGCCGUAGAGAUACGGCCCCCCUUGUGGUCGGUAUACAGGUGGUGCAUGGUCUGUCGUCAGCUCGUGUCGUGAGAUGUUGGGUUAAGUCCUGCAACGAGCGCAACCCUUGUCUUUUGUUGCCAGCACGUAAUGGUCGGACUCGUAAGAGACUGCCGGGGUCAACUAGGAGGAAGGGUUCUGACGACGUCAAGUCAUCAUGCCCCUUAUGUCCAGGGCUUCACACAUGCUACAAUGGCCGGUACAGAGUGCUGCGAUACCGUGAGGUGGAGCGAAUCCCUUAAAGCCGGUCUCAGUUCGGAUCGGGGUCUGCAGACUCGCUCCCGUGAAGUCGGAGUCGCUAGUAAUCGCAGAUCAGCAACGCUGCGGUGAAUACGUUCCCGGGCCUUGUACACACCGCCCGUCACGUCAUGAAAGUCGGUAACAGGAAGAAGCCGGUGGCCUUUUCCCUUGUG
rnacentral:rRNA from 1 species